GAGAGAGAAGAGUAACACCUGAAUUUGGUAGGUAAUUAGAAAGAAAUUUUAUACCCCCAAAUUCAGGGUGUUACACUAGGCGUCCUGUUGGUUCGGAUCACCCUAAGGUCUCUCCCCCAAGGGGCGGGAUCUAGGUCCUACGAGGAGAAGAAGGCGUCCCAACGCCAUCGCGGACCGUUUGACCCAGAGCGUGGACCGUCCGAUCAGCGCAUAGAGAAGACUCGCUCCUGCAGCAGGGUCGCGGACCAUUUGGCCCCAAGCCAUGGAUAGUCCGCGCCAGUGCAGCGAGCAAUGCCCGGCGACCCGUCGCGGACCGCCGCGCCGUCCACCUCGUAGAGCCAAACCUAAGGUAUUGCUCAUCACGUGAAGGUCCUAAGGUUUGUUAUUGUUUGACCCCAAAUAGGUGGUGGCCAUCAUAGAGAUGGUGUCCCACCUUCAGGAUAAUCAUCUUAGGUACAUCAAGUUAUCAUCUCCUUAGUUCGAAGGUUUCUUUUCAAGGCCACAUUCGAGAUAGCUUUAUUUGUCUUACAUCUUAUCUACUAUCUCGCUCUAUAAGGUCUCGACCCUUCGCGGGUGAAACCUAGGAUCAUCCCAAGGUCCGGACUCACUACGAGGGAGACCUAUGGAUCAUUAGUGUUUAGUCCAAAAAGGCGCCAACACACUUUUUGACAACUCUACUGGGGACGAAAGAUCCGAUCCAUUAGAUUAUAUCUAUUAAGUUAGACCUAUUAGAUCGGCCACAAUGGCCGGUCCCAAAGAUCCCAACAAUGUUACCCCACACAACAAUACAAGGCUAACUAACUUACCAACCACUGAGGAUGAGAAAUUAGAAGACCACAUGAAAAGGCUGAACGAGAAGUUCCAACGACAAAAGGCUCAAAUAAGCAAGAUGACAUAAAAGUGAUACCUCUUACACUUCAAAGUAGAUGACCACCUGAAGGUCGUCAAGGAGACGGAAGUAAAGUACAAUUCCAUGUGAGCCUUGCAGCAGCAGCUCCCCAUUAUAAGUAACACCACACCAAUAGCCGAUAUUCAAUAUAUUAAUUUUUUUUGAUAAUCGAAUUAAAAGUAUAAUUGAGGAUAUAGAUAAUAUGACACAUGUAUUAGAAAAACUCAUACACCUAAUUUUUUGUCAUAUGAAUUGGACACUAAAAUAAUUGCGUCAAACACAUCGGCAACAAAUGUGGCUUCUCAGUCCCAACCAUAUUGUUGUUUGCCGAUGAACUCAUAUCCGGGGCAAAUGCUGCCGCCAUCCUCACUAAUUAUUGUGGUAAUUAGACAUGUGCAUUCCGCCACCUGACUGUAGUUUACCUCCGAUAGACUUCUUAACUUGAUUCAUCACUUGUCAAUGAGACAACCAAUCCUAGAACAAUUAACCUACUUAUUCUCUGGCCUUGUGGCCUAUUCAAUCUUGUUAUUUAAGUACAUGAGAACUUUAGUUGUAGAGGGCUAAAAGCGAGUUACUCCUCUCUACCAUCAAAGGGUUAAAGAUUAGUUGACACUAAACGAGACAUAGCUCAUCUUAGGAACACUGCAAAAACACUGGUUUGAAGUAGUAGAUUAGGGGAUAAGAAAAGAAAAAGGCGAGUGAGAGUCUCGUUUUCAAAUGAAUAAAUAAUUCCGAGUGAAAAGUAAUUUCUCAUUUACUUUAGUUCCCUCUUUUGAUUCCAUCAAUUGCUACACCUGCACGAAACCUGUCUCUACCUUCCCGCAUAAAAUAAUAUUUGCUUUGCAGCUUGUAUGCUCUACUGUGUAAAUUCGAUUUGUAGCUGUACCUUGUAUUGUUGUUAGCUGCCCGUAGCUAUUAAGGGCUUGUUUGGAUCCACGGGGAUUUCUUUUCUAUUCAAUUUUGAAUAGCAAGAGAUUUAAUCUCAUCCAAUGCACCUCUAACCGAACAAGCCUUGGAAAGGUUAGGGCUUUUAUCGGAUGAAUUCAAUUUCACAGGGAAAACAUAGCAACAUGGAAAAGUUCCCGCGUUCAAAAAAACAGGGUCUAGAUUGUUUGCAGUUCGUGUUUUUCCUUUUAUUUUUGUUUGUUUGGAUUCUCUAUAUUUUUUUUUCUAUUGUUAUGCAUCCUUUAGCCAAAUAUCAUCUUAAACAAAAGAUGGACCAAGCCAAGAGCUAACAGUUCUGUGUCUUGUAGGUGCAGAGGCAUCUUCUGACCAAUGAAAAUGGUGAAACCAGGUAGAGUAUCUGACUCAAAGAUAACAACGUUUACAUGCAGAUACAAGACAACAAUAUCAUUGUUCUCUGAACACACAUGACCUCCAUUGGUAAAACUGAAAUCGAACCACGCCACAGAAAUACAUAGUGCUCUAGGCAAAUGCAAGAGGAUUCAUUAUUCAUCUGUGGUUGUGCUCAGUGAUCAAUACUCUUGUUCAUCCUCCUCCAGUGACCCAGCCUGUGAUGUCUUCUCGUGGUCAUUCUCAAGCUGGCUGAAGUUCCCCUUCUCCUUGAUCAGCUGGAUGUGGUGGUGCUUGCAGUACAGCUUCCCCUCGUGCGCAAUGUAGUUAGAAGGGCUGAUGGUGCACCCUCCAUGGCAGCACUUGAAGCAGCUCUUGUGGUACAUAGUGUUAUUAACAGUGACCUGGAUGCUUAACCGGUUGUCAAGUGAAGAAGGCUCAAACUACCGGAAGAAUGAUUGAGAUGGUUGAACACAGAAUCUUACCCUCUCAGUUGGAUAGACUGUCUUGCUGCAUCCAACACAUUUCUCUCUGGUGCCAGCAAAGGCGCUUGAGACUUUAGUAGCAUUCUGCCAAAUAAUAUGCAAUCAUGAUGAGCAUCAUCUAGUGCCAGUUGUUCAUAAAGAACAAAACAUGAAUGGUGUCAACUGGAUGGGUGAUAUGAAACAUGUUUAAAACCAUAUACAGCACUGAUCUAGUCAUAUACCUCAUGAAUAUCAAGUUUUUUUUUUGUGAUCUGUUAAA